UACGUGAGUGGCGAGCGUUAUCCGGAAUUACUGGGCGUAAAGAGCGCGUAGGCGACUGUGAAAGUCAGGGGUGAAAAGUCAGGGCUUAACCUUGGCCUUGCCUUUGAAACUUCACGGAUAGAGUACAGGAUAGGAGGGUGGAACUACAAGUGUAGCGGUGGAAUGCGUAGAUAUUUGUAGGAAUGCCGAUGACGAAGGUAGCUCUCUGGACUGAUACUGACGCUGAGGUGCGAAAGCUAGGGGAG
rnacentral:rRNA from 1 species